GUCGCUUUGGCCGAGUGGUUAAGGCGUGUGCUUGCUAAGUGCAUGAGGAUCCCCUGUGAGAGUUCGAACCUCUCAGGCGACG